GUGAAAGGAGAGAGCAAUUUUUUUUUCCCCCCUCCUUCUUUUCUUAAAGAUGUCUCACCUGCUGACACUUCCACUGAGUCCGGCUUUUAUGAUCUCAGACCUUUGAGACUCACCGUGUUGACACAUUUCCUCAAUCACAGAAAUGCUUCCUGCCACCAAAAAGUCCAACGCGCGCGUUUACCCCGGCGAGGCUGUUAUUUUCUGGUCCACCACCACGACUUCAGUUUACAGUAAAUUCAACUUGACGUGAAUGCAGCGCGUUCUUCUUCCUUCUUCUUCUUCUUCCUCGAUAUUAAAGUGCUGUGAGUGGGGGGCAGGGAGGACAUGAACGGGACAGAUCUGACUGAAGAGAUCACAUGCACACACCUGCUAGACAGCCUCAGUCAGCAUUAAGGCCUCGCGGUGUUCACACCUGUCUAGAUCGCUCAGCGCAGGGAACGGCGCAACAGCAGCAGGGCGGCCUGCUGGAUCGGCGAGGAGGAUUCAUCAUUUUCUUUUUUUUUUCUUCUUCCAGGCUGGAGCGACGUGACAGAUGGUUCGACAAUUCGAUUUCUUACAGUGACAUUUGUGCCUCAGCGUGCGGCCGAGGAAAUAUCAGCUGACCUGUCUGAGAAGACGAAUGGGCGAAUUACGCUGGUCUCUGCGACAAAUGCUCCUUUGAUGCAUCUUCCCGGGGGCCACAGCCACCAUCAGCACCCUCCUCCUCUCCACUUCUCUGCUCUUUCUCACUCCCAGCUUCCUGCAUGACAUUAAAGUCACAUCCAGCAGCCGCCCCCCCCAUCCCCCCUCGCCGACCGUUACUCCCCACCGCCCUAUUCAGCGGAGCCUCUGUCCUCCAGCGAGAAAAUGAGAGGGGAACAGAGAGAGGAAGAUGUCCCAUCAGUUGGAGCUUUCCUGCAGAGUUUUUUCCGGUUUGAGCUGGAACGAGACGUACGCUUCAAACCGUUCGGGUUCUUCACUGCAUCAAAUAUAAGAAUCAAAGUGUGAACAGAUGUGCAUCUGCGCUGCUCCACUUUCACGGAGUGACAGUAGGUUUCACCUUUGUGCGGGAAGAGUACGUGAUAAUAAGCAGCGAUAAUUAUUACCUGUGUUUCCGUGUUUUCUGGAGAUGCAUUUAGAUUUCACCAGACUUCCUCAGUAACCCAGAGUUGACACAAUAUGUCUGAUAAUUAGGGUAAAUGUCUGGAAGGAUGAGAAGCGGCCCCUAAAGCAAACAAUUCACUCUGGCACUACAAAAUAGGAAAAAUAAAAAUAGUGUUUUUUUUUUUUUUUUUACCCUUUGAUGAAUUUAAUUUUCCACCUGUUAUUGCUACGAGCUGUUGGGAGAAGAACAUGGUUGGCACGAAAGAGAAGCCACUCUCCAGUCUUUCUGUUUCUCUGAUGGGAUUAUGACAAAAAAAUUUUUUAUUUACAUGACAGCGACAAUAGAUGUCCUCAGUGGAGGUAAAAAUUGGUCAAAUCUGCAAAUUUUUCAGCGGUUUUGGCUCAAACCGAGCGAGCACACUGAUGAACAUGACAAAACACAGGCCGUAAGUUACCUUUAUUACUCCAAAUAAAGAGAUUUCCUAUUUUA